ensembl:misc_RNA Metazoa_SRP Metazoan signal recognition particle RNA
GCGGGUCGCGGUGGCGCAUGCCUGUGGUCCCAGCUACUCGGGAAGCCGAGGUGGGAGGAUCGCUUGAGCCCAGGAGUUCUGGGCUGUAGUGCGAUAUGCCGAUCGGGUGUCCGCACUAAAUUCGGCAUCAAUAUGGUGACCUCCCGGGAGCGGGGGACCACCAGGUUGCCUAAGGAGGGGUGAACCGGCCCAGGUUGGAAACGGAGCAGGUCAAAACUCCCGUGCUGAUUAGCAGUGGGAUCGCCCCUGUGAAUAUCCACUGCACUCCAGCCUGGGCAACAUUGUGAGACCCUGUCUCUA